GACGAACGCUGACGGCGUGCUUAACACAUGCAAGUCGAACGGUGAAGCGCCUUCCUUUUUGGUGGGUGUGGAUGAGUGGCGAACGGGUGAGUAACACGUGAGUAACCUGCCCCCUUCUUCUGGAUAACCGCAUGAAAGUGUGGCUAAUACGGGAUAUUCUGGGUCUGUCGCAUGAUGGGUCUGGGAAAGAUAUUGUUUCGGUGGGGGAUGGGCUCGCGGCCUAUCAGCUUGUUGGUGGGGUGAUGGCCUACCAAGGCGGUGACGGGUAGCCGGCCUGAGAGGUGGGCGGGGCCACCGGGGAGCGGGACCCGGCCCAGCUCCUUCGGGGGGGGAGCGGGGGGGAAUUUUGCCCAAUGGGGGCAAGCCGGAUGCGGGGGCGCCGGGUGAGGGAUGGGGGCCUUCGGGUUGUGACCCUUUUUCGCCAGGGAAGCAGGCCUGCCUCGUUUGGGGGGGGGUUGACGGUAGCUGGAUAAGAAGCCCCGGCUAACUACGU
rnacentral:rRNA from 1 species